GACAGAGGGUGCAAACGUUGUUCGGAAUUACUGGGCGUAAAGCGUGUGUAGGCGGCCCGUUAAGUGUCUUGUGAAAUCCCCCGGCCUCAACCGGGGAACUGCUGGGCAUACUGGCGGGCUUGGGUCGCUCAGGGGCAGACGGAACAGGCGGUGGAGCGGUGAAAUGCGUAGAUAUCGAGAGGAACACCUGCGGCGAAGGCGGGUUGCUGGGCUGACACUGACGCUGAACUGCGAAAGCUAGGGGAGCGAACGGG
rnacentral:rRNA from 1 species